rnacentral:rRNA from 1 species
UGGGGAAUAUUGGACAAUGGGCGGAAGCCUGAUCCAGCCAUGCCGCGUGUGUGAAGAAGGCCUUUUGGUUGUAAAGCACUUUAAGCGAGGAGGAGGCUACUUGGAUUAAUACUCUAGGAUAGUGGACGUUACUCGCAGAAUAAGCACCGGCUAACUCUGUGCCAGCAGCCGCGGUAAUACAGAGGGUGCGAGCGUUAAUCGGAUUUACUGGGCGUAAAGCGUGCGUAGGCGGCUUCUUAAGUCGGAUGUGAAAUCCCUGAGCUUAACUUAGGAAUUGCAUUCGAUACUGUGAAGCUAGAGUAUGGGAGAGGAUGGUAGAAUUCCAGGUGUAGCGGUGAAAUGCGUAGAGAUCUGGAGGAAUACCGAUGGCGAAGGCAGCCAUCUGGCCUAAUACUGACGCUGAGGUACGAAAGCAUGGGGAGCAAACAGG